rnacentral:rRNA from 1 species
GCAUAUCAAUAAGCGGAGGAAAAGAAACCAACAGGGAUUGCCUCAGUAACGGCGAGUGAAGCGGCAAGAGCUCAAAUUUGAAAUCUGGCUCCUUCGGGGCCCGAGUUGUAAUUUGGAGAGGAUGCUUCGGGCGUGGCCCCCAUCUAAGUGCCCUGGAACGGGCCGUCAUAGAGGGUGAGAAUCCCGUCUGGGAUGGGUGGUCCCGCCCGUGUGAAGCUCCUUCGAAGAGUCGAGUUGUUUGGGAAUGCAGCUCUAAGAGGGUGGUAAAUUUCAUCUAAAGCUAAAUAUUGGCCGGAGACCGAUAGCGCACAAGUAGAGUGAUCGAAAGAUGAAAAGCACUUUGAAAAGAGAGUUAAACAGCACGUGAAAUUGUUGAAAGGGAAGCGUUGGCAACCAGACUCGCCCGGGGGGGCUCAGCCGGCACGUGUGCCGGUGCACUCCCCCCCGGGCGGGCCAGCGUCGGUUUGGGCGGUCGGUCAAAGGCCCCGGGAAUGUAGCACCCUCCGGGGUGCCUUAUAGCCCGAGGCGCCAUGCGACCUGCCCGGACCGAGGAACGCGCUCCGGCUCGGACGCUGGCGUAAUGGUUGUCAACGGCCCGUCUUGAAACACGGACCAAGGAGUCUAACAUCUAUGCGAGUGUUCGGGUGUCAAACCCGUCCGCGCAGUGAAAGCGAACGGAGGUGGGAACCCUCUCGGGGGUGCACCAUCGACCGAUCCUGAUGUCUUCGGAUGGAUUUGAGUAAGAGCAUAGCUGUUGGGACCCGAAAGAUGGUGAACUAUGCCUGAAUAGGGCGAAGCCAGAGGAAACUCUGGUGGAGGCUCGCAGCGGUUCUGACGUGCAAAUCGAUCGUCAAAUUUGGGUAUAGGGGCGAAAGACUAAUCGAACCAUCUGGUAGCUGGUUCCUGCG